UGGGGAAUAUUGGACAAUGGGCGAAAGCCUGAUCCAGCCAUGCCGCGUGUGUGAAGAAGGUCUUCGGAUUGUAAAGCACUUUAAGUUGGGAGGAAGGGCAGUAAGCGAAUACCUUGCUGUUUUGACGUUACCGACAGAAUAAGCACCGGCUAACUCUGUGCCAGCAGCCGCGGUAAUACAGAGGGUGCAAGCGUUAAUCGGAAUUACUGGGCGUAAAGCGCGCGUAGGUGGUUCGUUAAGUUGAAUGUGAAAGCCCCGGGCUCAACCUGGGAACUGCAUCCAAAACUGGCGAGCUAGAGUAGGGCAGAGGGUGGUGGAAUUUCCUGUGUAGCGGUGAAAUGCGUAGAUAUAGGAAGGAACACCAGCGGCGAAGGCGACCACCUGGGCUCAUACUGACACUGAGGUGCGAAAGCGUGGGGAGCAAACAGG
rnacentral:rRNA from 1 species